GUUAUCCGCUAGUUCAAUUGCGGUAAUUUCGAAUCAGUUACUUUUGCUACUAUGGAGGAAUUGUUGUUUAGUUCAUUUGAGGAUUGAAAUUGUUACAUUUCAUAGCAAGAUUUGUGUGGAAUAAUUGGUUUCGAGGUCUGAGUUUUUACUGAGGAAGUUGUUAAAUGGAGAAAAAGAAAUAAAAUCUUGAAAUGAUUAGUAGAGAUUUUUCAUGGGUCUUGAUUUUGCUUGAGAUCUGAGUUUCUUUUUCCAAUUUGUUUGGUAGAUAGAUGACUUUGAAUUUUCAAGGUUUGCAGAUUUUGGACCUGCAAUAUCCGGUGCAAACAAAUUGCAUCUUUUCCCAAUAUGGUUGUCUAGCUAGGUAGCCAAUCUAGCAUUUGCCCUGCUUGAAACCAUUGAAUUUCUGGAAUGACUAAUCUCUCUAGAGUGUAAUAUAUAUCAUAAACUAGUAACAACUUUUCUUUAAUGAAUUAGAGAACGAGAUAUGCUGAAAGAAAGACAUGUUGUGAUAUCCCGCCCCCAACUUUGAAGCUUACUUGGAUUAUUGUCUUUGAGUUAGACUUUUUAAAAUGUUAUGUUCCUUAAAUUUGUGGUGUUUUAUUGCUAAUUUUCUGUUUUAUAUAUAUAUAUGAUAUUUGUUUUUAUCUAUUGUUACUUUUUAUUUAUUUAUGUAAUGGUUAAGAGAGAGGAAGGAGUGGGUUUUGGUUGCUGACGGUGGGGGGUGGGGGAGAAAAGAAAGAGAGAGAUGGAAACCAAAAAGAAGAGGAAGAGAACGGGAAAAGGAAAGGGAGAAGAGGGAGAUGAAAAGAGGAAGAAGAAAGAAAAGAGAGGGGAGGGGAAAACGACUAGUUGAAAAAGAAAGAAGAAUGAGAAGUAGAAAGGAGGAGACGGAGAGGGAUUGAGAAGAGAGAAUUUGAGAGUUUGGGGUUUUCUCAAAGGCUGCGAUUGGGUAUUUCUAGAUUAGAGGAGAGUGAAGCUAUAGAAUUGUAUGAGUUUUGAUUGAGAGUUAGAAGAAGAAGAAGAAGAAGAAGAAGAAGGAUAAAUGAAUGGGAAUGAGAGUCUAAUUUUUCUGCUCUUGAAACUAAACUAUCAGAGGGCAAUGGAGGAAGUUUUCAUAAGUGAAAGGUUUCCAUUCAGGUUGUUUAGCUUCUACGGUUGUCUUGCUUUAGUGAGAAUGCUCAGGGAAUAACUACUGCUUCUGCAAGAGCCCGCACAAAGACAUUGUCAAAUUUCAUCAAAUCACUAAACAAGUUGCAUCUUGCAUGCCAAUUGCGGGAGUGAGACAUUUUUGUUGAAGCCAGAAACAGUUGAAGACUAAGAGCUAUCGAAAAUAGGAAUGUUUUUUAUUCUUGUAUAGCUAACUGGGAAUGCUCUUGUUUAGUGCAUUAUCUAGUUACUUGAAUGUAUGAAUGCUUGAAUAAUGGUACUUGAAUGAUAUGGAUUAGAGUAGUAUUUAUAUGGUAA